GAUGAACGCUAGCGGCAGGCCUAAUACAUGCAAGUCGAACGGAUAUAUGUUUUUCGGAAUAUAUAUUAGUGGCGCACGGGUGAGUAACACGUACAUAACUUGCCCUCAAGCGGGGGAUAGCCUUGGGAAACUGAGAGUAAUACCCCAUAGAAUUAUUGGACGGCAUCGUUUGAUAAUUAAAACUACGGUGCUUGGGGAUAGAUGUGCGUCUGAUUAGCUAGUUGGUGAGGUAACUGCUCACCAAGGCGACGAUCAGUAGGGGGCGUGAGAGCGUGGCCCCCCACACGGGUACUGAGACACGGACCCGACUCCUACGGGAGGCAGCAGUAAGGAAUAUUGGUCAAUGGAGGGAACUCUGAACCAGCCAUGCCGCGUGAAGGAUGACGGCCCUCUGGGUUGUAAACUUCUUUUGGAUGGGGCGAAAAAACGGGAUUUAUCCUGGACUGACGGUACCAUCAGAAUAAGCACCGGCUAACUCCGUGCCAGCAGCCGCGGUAAUGUAGUCGUG
rnacentral:rRNA from 1 species